GCAACCCCUUCAGCCCAGCCCAACGACCAGAAUGUGAAUCGUAGGCCCAUCAGCUGCUGCAUUAGCUUCGUGACACGUCGCAUCCCGCUGCGCAUGUUGACAUCUUUUGAAUACACCAACGACAGAUGCAGCCAGCCGGGUGUUGUAUUCGUCACAAAAAGAGGCAUAAAGAUCUGUGCCGAUCCGUCAGAAAAAUGGGUCCAGGAUUACAUCCAUGCCCUCUCCCCACCUUGAAUGGCCUCCGUGCAAGCAGAGAGCACGUCUCCCCCGUCGACAGAGGCCCAUAACCAGAUUUGACCAAAGGAGAAACCAUUAUUAAAGGGAGUACUGUUUGCUGAA